rnacentral:rRNA from 1 species
UUUGAAAGGCGCUUUUGCGUCACUGAUGGAUGGACCCGCGGCGUAUUAGCUAGUUGGUGAGGUAAUGGCUCACCAAGGCAACGAUACGUAGCCGACCUGAGAGGGUGAUCGGCCACAUUGGGACUGAGACACCGCCCCAAACUCCUACGGGAGGCAGCAGUAGGGAUUCUUCGGCAAUGGACGAAAGUCUGACCGAGCAACCCCGCGUGAGUGAAGAAGGUUUUCGGAUCGUAAAACUCUGUUGGUAAAGAAGAACAAGGGUGAGAGUAAAAAGUUCACCCCUUGACGGUAUUUACCCAGAAAGCCACGGCUAACUACGUGCCAGCAGCCGCGGUAAUACGUAGGUGGCAAACGUUGUCCGGAUUUAUUGGGCGUAAAGCGAGCGCAGGCGGUCUUAUAAGUCUGAUGUGAAAGCCCCCGGCUCAACCGGGGAGGGUCAUUGGAAACUGUAAGACUUGAGUGCAGAAGAGGAGAGUGGAAUUCCAUGUGUAGCGGUGAAAUGCGUAGAUAUAUGGAGGAACACCAGUGGCGAAGGCGACUCUCUGGUCUGUAACUGACGCUGAGGCUCGAAAGCGUGGGGAGCAAACAGGAUUAGAUACCCUGGUAGUCCACGCCGUAAACGAUGAGUGCUAAGUGUUGGAGGGUUUCCGCCCUUCAGUGCUGCAGCUAACGCAUUAAGCACUCCGCCUGGGGAGU